CUGCCUGAAGAGGAUGACUGGUUUAACGAAUCAUCUGAGAUCAGACUCAGAAACCGAGCGGCUGUGCUAGCAGUCACAGCGCCUGCCCCAGGGCUGGUGCUCCACACUCCCAAGCCUCUGCCCACCCUGGAUCCUACCAGGCUCCAAAAAUCAUCUCAGAAGAGGUUAUUUCCCAGGCAUUUUGCCCUGUUACAUGUCUCCAGUCAGUUUAUGUGCAUGUCGAAUACAAUAGUUGAACAAUUUCAGGCGCUGAACUUGGCAUUAGAAUGACAAAGACGAGUAGAUUAUAGUUUUAGACCAGUAGGCCUUCCGGGUACUAGAGGAGACAAGACGUGGAAGCAGAAACUUCCAGCAAAGAUUGCUGGAGGCUGAGAAGUUCAAGAUCCAGAUGCUGGCAGAUUUGGUGUCUGCGAGAGCCCUCUUCCUGGUUCAUAGAUGGCUAUCAGGUGGCCUAGGACACCUGAUCCUAACUUCAGCACCCUGCCAGGAAAAGCUGCCAUAUCACAGUGAUGGAGCAAGUGCUGGCUAGCUGGAGAGUGCGGCGCACGGGUGACUGCCCUGAGAAGGAACUUCUGUGCCCCCAGGUGGUGACUGCAGCUGCACUGACCCACCUCGUGGGUGGGACCCUCAGGAACACGAGCAUCUUUGGGAAUUGUUACCUCUCAUCCAUUGGCAGUUGCCACCACCAUGCCACUGAAAGAAUCUAAGAGGCACCCAAAAGAAUUAGCUAACAUCUUUCUUGAGAGGCACCCUGGUAGAGAAGCCUGGGCUGCAGACCUGCAUUCAACGAUUGGCUCUGAUGUUGGGAUGUUCUUGGCUGCUACAGAAAAUUCUGACUCAGUAUGGCUUAAACAAAAGGUAAACUUAUUAUUUUUCAUAACCAGAAGUAGGGUGAACUCCAGGCCCUGUGUGAUCAGUGGCUCAGUGAUGUCAUGAAGAAUGCAGGGUUCUUUCUGUCUCCCCACUCCUGCCAGCCUCAAUGUUGGUGUAAUCCUAACACGAGUCCUGCCAAUUCCCCCUCAUAGUUCCAAGAUGAUUCCCACUCAGGCUGCCAGGCAAUCAGAGCUGUAGCCUUCCCUGCUCACUCCCAGCAGGUGAACACCUGUCCCAAACAGGGGCUACCAUAAAUCCUCUGCUUCAGUCUGAUCAGCCCAACUCAGGUCUCUAGCCCAUCACUCCUGGACCAGUAUUGGUUGCCCUGGGAAUGCCAUGUUGAUGGACUCAGACUUGCCUUGUCCAAUACAGAAGCUACUAGACACAUAUAGCCACUGGGCACUUGAAAUGUGCCUAGUCUGAAUUAAGAAGUGCUUUAAGUGUAAAAUACUCAUCAGAUUCCAAAAUCUUCUCCCUCUCUUUUUCUUUGUCUCUCUCUCACACACACACAAAUAAAAUAUCUCUUUAAUGUUUUUCAUAUAGAUUAUUAUGUUGAAAUAAUAACAUUUUGGAUAUAUUGGGUUAAAUAAAAUUUAUUAUUAAAAAUAA
rnacentral:lncRNA from 1 species